UAACAGCACUGUGGUUGCGAGGAGUAGCUACGAAAACACGGCGCAGCUAGAUUUCACAAGGGUCCCCUUUCAAGUACACGGAGACAACAAAAGGCCCAAACAAGGGUUCGAUACAAGCGAACCAUUCAGGGCAGUUGUGUGAAGCUUCUCUGCCGGCCAAAAGAAUACGGAGGGAAGUUGUGUCCAGAAUUAACAUUUAUACUGAGUGGAGGAGUGUGUGGGUUUUUCUUUCCCCGUGGAGGUACAUGAUAAGAAAAUGUAAGCAACAAAGUCCCUUUCAAAGUUGAUCUUUUGAAAUUUACUCCACCGCAGCUUCAGGCUUCCGUCUGAGUUUCGGUCUGGGUCAAACAUCACAGAAGAGGGGGACCAUGCUUAUAAUAUGAAACUGAAGGUCAAACGGCUGACCUUGAGAGCGAAAAAGUAUACUUUGCUUUUUUUAAUUUUUCUGCAGAAAAACCCUGUAAGCCUGGCAGGAUUUAACUAGCUGGUUUAUUUCAACGCCAGAACGAGCUCCUCCAAACUUCAUCCCGAAUAAAGAGAGCAUCACAGCACCUUUGGCUCAGCGAUAUUGGUGACGUCACAUAUUCAAAAGCCGGAAACCAACGUGUGAAAUUCUCAACUGUGAAACUACCUUUGCCUCCCAGAGGUGACACUGGAAGUUCCCGAGAAAGGACUUGUGUUGUUAUUUGGUGGGAGGGGGAGGGUACGGAUGGAGAAGUCCGCCUUCUAUUAAUUAAACCUUAUAUUAAAAGGAUCUGUAAGCAAA
rnacentral:lncRNA from 1 species